rnacentral:rRNA from 1 species
UACGAAGGGGGCUAGCGUUGUUCGGAAUUACUGGGCGUAAAGCGCGCGUAGGCGGAUAUUUAAGUCAGGGGUGAAAUCCCGGGGCUCAACCCUGGAACUGCCUUUGAUACUGGAUAUCUGGAGUUCGGGAGAGGUGAGUGGAAUUCCGAGUGUAGAGGUGAAAUUCGUAGAUAUUCGGAGGAACACCAGAAGCGAAGGCGGCUCACUGGCCCGAUACUGACGCUCAUGCACGAAAGCGUGGGGAGCAAACAGG